rnacentral:rRNA from 1 species
AGCGAACGCUGGCGGCAGGCUUAACACAUGCAAGUCGAACGGGCGUAGCAAUACGUCAGUGGCAGACGGGUGAGUAACGCGUGGGAACGUACCUUUUGGUUCGGAACAACCCAGGGAAACUUGGGCUAAUACCGGAUAAGCCCUUACGGGGAAAGAUUUAUCGCCGAAAGAUCGGCCCGCGUCUGAUUAGCUAGUUGGUGAGGUAACGGCUCACCAAGGCGACGAUCAGUAGCUGGUCUGAGAGGAUGAUCAGCCACAUUGGGACUGAGACACGGCCCAAACUCCUACGGGAGGCAGCAGUGGGGAAUAUUGGACAAUGGGCGCAAGCCUGAUCCAGCCAUGCCGCGUGAGUGAUGAAGGCCCUAGGGUUGUAAAGCCUCUUUCGGCGGGGACGAUAAUGACGGUACCCGCAGAAGAAGCCCCGGCUAACUUCGUGCCAGCCGCCGCGGUAAC